GGAUCAGAAACUGAAGAGGAGGUUGACUCAGCUGAGAGGGAUGCUGCAACUUCAUCUUCCAGAUCACCAGAUCAAUUUGGGGUGACCAGGAGAUGCACCACUGAAGGUGGACAAAACAAAGAUCUGCCUUCAGCCAAAGAGAGAUCAAAUGACAAGGUACCGGUGGCCAUGGAAGUCUCUGGCAACUCCAACACAACUAAAGGGCCAUCACAAAGGAAGAGAGUGAAGUGGAGC